ACUACACCUCCUACAGUGACUACGUGAUCGAGGAGAAGACGGCGGUGCUGCAGAAGAGAGAGAUCGAGGGAUUCGGAUUCGUCCUCCGAGGAGCGAAAGCGGAGACGCCCAUCGAGGAGUUCGCGCCUACCCCAGCGUUCCCGGCGCUCCAGUACCUGGAGUCGGUGGAUCAGGGGGGCGUCGCCUGGAGGGCGGGGCUUAGAACCGGAGACUUCCUCAUAGAGG